UUUGCUAGGGGAGCCCACAGGCUGAGAUUGCAUUUUCCGAUAACCACGAUUAUCGGUCACACCCAUGAUAUAAUGGAUCAAAAUGCUAACCCUCACUACUUGAACCGGAUAAUACCGGCGUAAGGAAGCAGUUUUA
rnacentral:ncRNA from 1 species